rnacentral:rRNA from 1 species
UGGGGAAUAUUGCACAAUGCGCGCAAGCCUGAUGCAGCCAUGCCGCGUGUAUGAAGAAGGCCUUCGGGUUGUAAAGUACUUUCAGCGGGGAGGAAGGUGUUGUGGUUAAUAACCGCAGCAAUUGACGUUACCCGCAGAAGAAGCACCGGCUAACUCCGUGCCAGCAGCCGCGGCAAUACGGAGGGUGCAAGCGUUAAUCGGACUUACUGGGCGUAAAGCGCACGCAGGCGGUCUGUCAAGUCGGAUGUGAAAUCCCCGGGCUCAACCUGGGAACUGCAUUCGAAACUGGCAGGCUAGAGUCUUGUAGAGGGGGGUAGAAUUCCAGGUGUAGCGGUGAAAUGCGUAGAGAUCUGGAGGAAUACCGGUGGCGAAGGCGGCCCCCUGGACAAAGACUGACGCUCAGGUGCGAAAGCGUGGGGAGCAAACA